rfam:Stegodyphus mimosarum contig95190, whole genome shotgun sequence.
GCGUUGGUAGUGUAGUGGUCAGCACGCUCGACGUGUAACCGAGAGGUUCCUGGUUCGAUUCCCGGCGAAGGCG